CUUUGGUAGGAGAGGGUUUGCAGCCAUUGUUGCUUGUGAGUUUUGUGUUUUAUAAAGUUUGUGAUCAAAGAAUUCUGCUGUUAUUUCUGUGACUGUAUGGCCUUCAGUCAUCCCUGCAUGCUUUGUGGUGGCGGCGGCAAGGGCCUCUGAAACUUCCCUAUCCACUGGACCACCUUUCUUCUCGACCCCUCAACUUUUCGAAGUUUAAGCCUCCUGCAGAAUUUUUAUGGUAUAAAGUUACUGGAAAUCUGGAAAGCAACAAUGAUUUUGAACUCCGCCCCUUUUCUAGAGUUGGGCCAAAGAUAUAAGAAAACUGUAUCUUCACUUUUCUUGUCGAUAGUUCGUGUUAAACAGUGAGUAGGUAAGGUCCACUAUAGUUGAGAGUAAAUUAGAGGUACACUUUGACAUAACAGUGCUGCUGAGGAGGAGGAGACGUUGACUAGAUUUUUAAUAUUUUGAUGAGAUGAAGGUUUUAGCAGGAAGAGGAAUAAAGGAUUACAGAGGAUGAAUGGAUAAACUAAGGCUGAUUAUCUGGAAUGUGAACUUUAAUGCAAAAUAACGAAAUGAAAUGGAGGAGCAGCUCAAAUAUGUGUAGUGAAGCUGCUCCUUUAUGUUGUAACCUUUGUAUCAGUGAAAAAUAAAGCUGUGUUGUAUAUGA